GUAGUCUCGCACAGAUGCAUAUCAAUAAGCGGAGGAAAAGAAACUAACAAGGAUUCCCCUAGUAACGGCGAGUGAAGCGGGAAGAGCUCAAAUUUGAAAUCUUAAAGGGUUUCCCUUUACGAAUUGUAGUUAAAGAAGUGUUUUCUGUUGAGGUUUUGGUAAAAGUUCUUUGGAAUAGGACAUCAUAGAGGGUGAGAAUCCCGUAUUUGACCUUUACUUUCAACUUUGUGAUACACUUUCAAAGAGUCGGAUUGUUUGGGAAUGCAGUCCAAAAUGGGUGGUAAAUUUCAUCUAAAGCUAAAUAUUGGCGAGAGACCGAUAGCGAACAAGUACCGUGAGGGAAAGAUGAAAAGAACUUUGAAAAGAGAGUUAAACAGUACGUGAAAUUGUCAAAAGGGAAGCGUUUGACACCAGUGUUGUUUUUCUGAAAAUCAAUUAAAGAACUGUUUAUGCUAAGCUGUUUAGACUUUAUCAGCUAAUCUGUUUAGUUUUGAGCUUUUCUUUAAUGCACUUUUCAGUUAACAAGUCAACAUCAAUUUCUUUUGCUGUAAAGAAGCUUGAGGAAGGUGGCUUGAGAUUCGUCUUAAGUGUUUAUAGCCUCUUGCCUAUGCAGUCGGAGAGAUUGAGGUCUGCAGCGUAGAUCCUUCGGGGCUAAAUGCAUUUGUGCUAAGUUAUAGCAUUUUAUAGACAACUUGUUGACUAUGAUUUGUCUUGUAGCUUACCCGCUUAUGUUAUUUUACCUACGCUUAGGAUGUUGAUAUCGCGCUCUCACUG
rnacentral:rRNA from 1 species